GAGUUAAUCACGUAACCGCUCCUCUCGCUGCUCGCCCUCUGCCUCUUUCUCCGCUGCUUUCCCAUGCGACGGUUCCCACCUCCUCCUGGUCGAUCUUGGUCGUCGCCGCCCGCCCGUGGUGAUGCACCCACAGUAGAUCCGUUCUCUCCUCUCGCACGAUGCGUCGCCUCUGCUCCUCCCGUCCCUCGCUGCCAUCUCCCGGCCUUUGGCUUCCUCUGCCCCAAGAUCUGUGCGCGUCGCGGUGGAAGAUCCGAGAAGGGAGGCGAGUCUCUCCCACGGCGUCGCUGUUGCACGGCUCGUUUGCGUUCCUCUCAAAGGACCAGGUGGAGAAGCUGACGGGAGAGAACCGGGACGAGGCCUAUGCCGCCGCCAAGAUAAUGAAGCUCUGCGCCGCUGUGGGCGACGGCAGCAGCACCAAGGUGAUGCCCGAGAGGCCACCCCGGAUCCUGCGCAGCCCAUGGUCACGGCCAAGCUGGAGUGGCGCUCCGGGUUCAUGGCCCCCAAGCUGGUGUUGGGCGCGGCGGCGAAGACGCCACAGAGUUGCCCUACGCUGCCCCGCGCCAUGGAGGAGUGCUCCUUUAGCCAAUAUGGUACAUUGGUACCCUGCAAAGUUCAGCAUCAAGAUAAAAUCUGCAAAUGUGCAUGCAUGCAGCCUUAAAACUCUGAUAUUUCUCUUGUGGAAGGGAUUCCAUACCUGUGUUGGAUCUGGUGGCCAGAGGCAGACUGCAUAAUGGUACAAGUAGAAUGGCAUAGAGGUGAUGUAUGAGGAACCAGUUAAAGCAUUUGAUGGCAAAAGACAGAACUUGAAAACUUCAUCAGGGAAAAUUCUGAAAGUUCACGCUGAAGGCUUUGGACAAGUUUGAGGAUACGUUUGGUCCCUUUGAUUGUGGCUUUAUAUUUUCUAAUAGAAAGUCUAGCAGGGUCUGCAUAGGUAAGAGCUGGAUGACGGCACUGAGAAGAGACAGUUUUCUCCCUCUGACAGUUGCUUCUGUUUCUAGAUUGGAUUACACCAAAAGAUGCCAGUGAUGUACAUUCUCGUGGUACUUGCUCGACAGCGCAUUAUUAAAUUGGUUGAUGGAAAUAGGGAGUUUCUGACAAUUGAUAAAGCAAUAGGUGAAAAUGGAUUCGAGGUUCUGACUCUGCUUCUUUUGAGUGCUUUGUUCCUUUCUCCACCGGGAACUACCUAGAUGGCUUGACUUCAGUCAAGUUCUUGCCUUAUGUAUUGGGCAGGUUAAUUUGCACUUCCUGAAUGCCUCCUUGUUCUGUUAUGGCACUAUCUGAAAAUUUCUAUCCAUAGGGCAUACUACAUUCAGUGGGAAAUUUGUCUGUUCUUGAUGGCUUGCUUAUCCAUACGAAUAUUGGCUCUUGAUGCUUGUGUAGCAUUUUUUAAGUGUUCGUAAAUCAUAUAUAUAUAUACUCCCUCCGUCCCAAAAUUCUUGUCUUAGAUUUGUCUAAAUACGGAUGUAUCUAGUUACGUUUUAGUGUUAGAUACAUCCGUAUCUAGACAAAUCUAAGACAAGGAUUUUGGGACGGAGGGAGUAUAUAUUUAUGUAAAUUGUAUCUUUCUGAAUAUUGUUAAGGAACUGAAUUUUUGGUUCUCCAAUUUAACCCCACUUAGCUUUGUGGUUCACAUAGCAAAUGCUUGAUAGUGAAUGCACAUACUACUAUUUGUUCUUUGCCCUUGUGCAUCGGCCAAUGUCAUAUGUGCCAUCUCGAGACAAAUAUAUGAUAAGUUGACUCAAUUAUAGAUAUCCCUAUUCGUGGCAUCAAUUAUUUAUUUCUAAAGAUUUAUUUCUUAUAGCUGUUAUAUACUACUCCCUCCGUUUCAGUUUACAAGUCCUGUGCGUAUACCUAGGUUGUCAAUUUUAUCACCCUAAUAUAAACUAUAUAGCACAAAAAUUAUACCGUUUGAAAAUAGAACAUAUGAAGUUUAUAUUGGUAUAUUUUUUGUAAUAUUUGACUUGUAUUAGGUUGGUCAAAUUGACGACCUAGGGGUACGCGCACGCCUUAUAAACUGAGAGAGAGGGAGUAUCCUUACCCAUGAAUUAAUAUUUUUUAAUGAUAUUAAGCAUUCUGGGCAGAUCAGUGGCGGAGGCAGGGGGACUAGCAGGGGCCCUGGGCCCCCUAACAUCUGAGCUUUCCUACUAAAUUGCUGAUUAACAGUGUAGAAUCAGUGUUUAUUUGCUGCUUUCCUAUGGUUUGGCCCUCCAUAAGCUAUUUUGACAGCACUUGGCUUCCCUAAUCCAAGUUUCUGGCUCUGCCACUGGGGCAGAUCAGGCUGGUGACGACAACCAUCUGGAUGAGCCGAGGCAUGAUCUUUACUAUGAAGCACAAAGUUUCUCAGACAUUCUUGAUAAUGAGUAGAUAUAUCUAACUAGUGUGAUGGCUACCGUUGACGAAAUACAAGAUGCUUUGGGUUCUGUUGUGGCACAUUCACAUUGAGAUUUUAUUACAAACUGUAGCUUCCAUCAAUGUUCCUGCUUGCUCACUUUGUGAAUGAAGUGAUAUAUCGGGGUCUCAAUUUGCGCCUGCCAUGAUUCUACUCCUCUGUAUGCUUCUAGGAAACAUGUAUUAUAUUGCUGUCCAUUGCGGGUCAUGGAAUCUCAAUUUGCUUUUGGCAUGAACCGACCUUCUAUUAGUUCACAACUUUUGGACAGUGCUAGCUAUUACUUCUAACCACCUCUCAUCUCUGUAAUCAGUCAUCUAGGCUGUAAGACUGUUGCUUCUAUGUUCAUAUAAGCCCUGGCCCAUCUUACAAAUUUCUAUUGUUGUAUCUUAUGUUUCCAACCAACAACUUGCACAUGAUUGUGCUAUUGCAUAUGAUGUGGUUUUAGUUUA